GAUGAAGAACGUAGCGAAAUGCGAUAAGUAAUGCGAAUUGCAGAAUUUCCGUGAAUCAUCGAAUCUUUGAACGCACAUUGCGCCUCCUGGUAUUCCGGGAGGCAUGCCUGUUCGAGCGUCAUUAAAAUCACUCAAGCUUAGGUUUACCUAUUGCUUGGUCUUGGAGAUGGAAGCCAAUUUAUUGGAAUCCUCUUCGAAAUUCAAUGGCGAAGACCCUUGCUCUCCCAAGUGUAGUAAUAACUUAUGUCACUGAAGGAAGCGAGAAAUCUUCUGCCGUAACCCCCAUAUUUUCUAUGAUUGACCUCGGAUCAGGUAGGGAUACCCGCUGAACUUAAGCAUAUCAAUAAGCGGAGGA
rnacentral:misc_RNA from 1 species